rnacentral:sRNA from 1 species
AUGAGGCCAACUACCUCGUGAUGCCAAUUUUUAGCGCACGGCUCUCUGAGCCAUUUCCCUGGACCGGUCACAGGAUUUGUGCCCGGUCUUUUUUU